GCCCCAGUAGCUCAGCAGGAUAGAGCGACCGCCUCCUAAGCGGUAGGUCAGAGGUUCAAAUCCCCCCUGGGGUGCCA
rnacentral:tRNA from 1 species